rnacentral:lncRNA from 1 species
GACUUCGGAAGAAGAUCCUGAGCUUGUCGGGGUCUUGGCACAGGGUCCUGAAAGCCGUAUAUGGAUCAAGACAUGGAAGAGAAAGUCUGGCUCUGUUGCCCAGGCUGAAGUGCAAUGGUGCAAUCAGAAUUUACUGCAACCUCGACCUCCUGGGCUCAAGUGAUCCUCCUGACUCACUCAGCUUCCUAAGUAGCUGGGACUACUGCCAUCAUAAUGUGAAGAAGCCGAAGCAGCCUGUGAAGAGGCGCUAGUGGAAAGGAACUCAGGUGCCCCUGCCCUCAGUCCCAGCUGAACUCUCAGCUGACAGCCAUCACCAACUUGCCAGCCACAGGAGUGAGCCAACUUGAGAGUGGAUCUUUCAGUCCCAGUGGAGCCAUCUCAGCUGACACACCAUGGUAAAAAGAUGAACCAUCCUUGCUGAUCCUUGCCAGUGCUGCAGAUACAUAAGCAAAAUAAAUGUUUUUGUUGUUUUAAGCCACUAUA